rnacentral:rRNA from 1 species
AGAGUUUGAUCAUGGCUCAGGACGAACGCUGGCGGUGCGCCUUAUGCAUGCAAGUCGAGCGAAGCUUUUCAGUAGUUUACUACAGAAAAUGACUGAGCGGCGAACGGGUGAGUAACGCGUGAGCAAUCUACCUUAGUUACAGGGAUAGCCCGAGGAAACUCGGAUUAAUACCUGAUAUUCUUUAUUUCUCGCAUGAGAAUAAAAGGAAAGGUCAGCCGAACUAAGAUGAGCUCGCGUUCUAUCAGCUAGUUGGUGAGGUAAAAGCUUACCAAGGCUACGACGGAUAGCUGGUCUGAGAGGACGAUCAGCCACACUGGGACUGAGACACGGCCCAGACUCCUACGGGAGGCUGCAGCAGGGAAUAUUGUGCAAUGAACGAAAGUUUGACACAGCGACACCGCGUGUGGGAUGACGGAUCUAGGUUUGUAAACCACUUUCAGGAGGGAAGAAAAUGACGGUACCUCCACAAGAAGCCCCGGCCAACUACGUGCCAGCCGCCGCGGUAAUAC